AGUACUUCUGCUCCACAGCAAGGUGAACAGGACACACCAAUUGCCACUAGUUCUGCUGCACACCAAGGAGACACACUGGCAGACAUAAGCAACAAUUCAGCUUCUUCGGUUGAAGCUCCUGCAGGUGACAGUCCAGAUGCCACACCUCAACGGCCAUCUACUUUAAUAGCAGAUCCACCUCUGCCUGAACUGUCAGGGGCGACGAAAGCGAUGCUACUAGAGCCUACCUGUUCCCGAAAAGUGUGGCUACAGCUGAUUGAAGAGACAAAAAAUUAUUAUCUAAAGUUUUAUCCCUUGAUUGAAUCAAAUCCUAUGGGGACAUACAAAGCAAUUGGAAUGAAGAUGGUGUCUGCUUAUCCAUCCAUCAAGCGUGAAGGCUUGUUUCCAUGGAGUCAGUUUACUAGGGCCCUCAGUCAGAGCAUUCGAACUGAGCGUUAUAAACAGAAGAGAAAGAGCAUGCCUCAUGUACAACAUGCUCAUCCAGCCCC